rnacentral:rRNA from 1 species
AUUGAACGCUGGCGGCAGGCCUAACACAUGCAAGUCGAACGAGUGGCGGACGGGUGAGUAAUGUCUGGGAAACUGCCCGAUGGCGGGGGAUAACUACUGGAAACGGUCGCUAAUACCGCAUACCCUCGGAUGUGCCCAGAUGGGCUUAGCUAGUAGGUGGGGUACCGGCUCACCUAGGCGACGAGCCCUAGCUGGUCUGAGAGGAGGACCAGCGACACGGGAACUGAGAGACAGUCCGGAGUCGUACGGGAGGGAGCAGUGGGGAAUAGUGCACAAUGGGCGCGAGCCUGAUGCAGCCAUGCCGCGUGUAUGAUGAAGGGCGUCGUGUUGAAAAGUACUUUCAGCGAGGAGGCGUUACUCGCAGAAGAGGCACCGGCUAACGCCGUGCCAGCAGCCGCGGUAAUAC